GAUGAACGCUAGCGGCAGGCUUAAUACAUGCAAGUCGAGGGGCAGCAUGAUUGUAGCAAUACAAUUGAUGGCGACCGGCAAACGGGUGCGGAACACGUACACAACCUUCCAACAAGUGGGGGAUAGCCCAGAGAAAUUUGGAUUAAUAACCCGUAAUAUAGCGAUGUGGCAUCACACUGCUAUUAUAGAUUUUUCGCUUGUUGAUGGGUGUGCGGCUGAUUAGAGAGUUGGCGGGGUAACGGCCCACCAAGUCUACGAUCAGUAGCUGAUGUGAGAGCAUGAUCAGCCACACGGGCACUGAGACACGGGCCCGACUCCUACGGGAGGCAGCAGUAAGGAAUAUUGGACAAUGGACGCAAGUCUGAUCCAGCCAUGCCGCGUGAAGGAUUAAGGUCCUCUGGAUUGUAAACUUCUUUUAUAAGGGACGAAAAAAGGCUUUUCUAAGUCGUCUGACGGUACCUUAUGAAUAAGCACCGGCUAACUCCGUGCCAGCAGCCGCAGUAACAC
rnacentral:rRNA from 1 species